GUCUAUGGCCAUACCACCCAGAAUGUGCCUGAUCCUCUCUGAGCUCUGAAGCUAAGCAGGGUUGGGCUUGGUUAGUACUUGGAUGAGAGACAAAAAACAGUUACCGAACACU
rnacentral:rRNA from 1 species